UAUUUACUAUGAUGACAUCUGUUAGGAUGGUAUCUUAAGGUGAUUACUUUUAAGUGUGUGCCUUAUGAUUAUACCAAAACUGAGUUUGGUUUCUGAGCAAAAU
rfam:Zea mays cultivar B73 chromosome 10, whole genome shotgun sequence.